GACGAACGCUGGCGGCGUGCUUAACACAUGCAAGUCGUACGGUAAGGCCCUUUCGGGGGUACACGAGUGGCGAACGGGUGAGUAACACGUGAGUAACCUGCCCACAACUUUGGGAUAACGCUAGGAAACUGGUGCUAAUACUGGAUAUGUGCUCCUGCUGCAUGGUGGGGGUUGGAAAGCUCCGGCGGUUGUGGAUGGACUCGCGGCCUAUCAGCUUGUUGGUGGGGUAGUGGCCUACCAAGGCGGCGACGGGUAGCCGGCCUGAGAGGGUGACCGGCCACAUUGGGACUGAGAUACGGCCCAGACUCCUACGGGAGGCAGCAGUGGGGAAUAUUGCACAAUGGGCGCAAGCCUGAUGCAGCAACGCCGCGUGCGGGAUGACGGCCUUCGGGUUGUAAACCGCUUUCAGCAGGGACGAAGCUUUUUGUGACGGUACCGGCAGAAGAAGCACCGGCUAACUACGU
rnacentral:rRNA from 1 species